AACGAACGCUGGCGGCAUGCCUAACACAUGCAAGUCGAACGAAGCCUUCGGGCUUAGUGGCGCACGGGUGCGUAACGCGUGGGAAUCUGCCCUUGGGUUCGGAAUAACAGUUAGAAAUGACUGCUAAUACCGGAUGAUGUCUUCGGACCAAAGAUUUAUCGCCCAAGGAUGAGCCCGCGUAGGAUUAGGUAGUUGGUGGGGUAAUGGCCCACCAAGCCGACGACCCUUAGCUGGUCCGAGAGGAUGAUCAGCACACUGGGACUGAGACACGGCCCAGACUCCUACGGGAGGCAGCAGUGGGGAAUAUUGGACAAUGGGCGAAAGCCUGAUCCAGCAAUGCCGCGUGAGUGAUGAAGGCCUUAGGGUUGUAAAGCUCUCUUACAGGGAUGAUAAUGACAGUACCUGGAGAAUAAGCUCCGGCUAACUCCGUGCCAGCAGCCGCCGCCGUAA
rnacentral:rRNA from 1 species